UAGGGAAUCUUCCACAAUGGACGCAAGUCUGAUGGAGCAACGCCGCGUGAGUGAAGAAGGCUUUCGGGUCGUAAAACUCUGUUAUUGAAGAAGAACGUGUGUGACAGUAACUGGUCAUGCAGUGACGGUAUUCAAUCAGAAAGUCACGGCUAACUACGUGCCAGCAGCCGCGGUAAUACGUAGGUGGCAAGCGUUGUCCGGAUUUAUUGGGCGUAAAGCGAGUGCAGGCGGUCUUUUAAGUCUGAUGUGAAAGCCUUCGGCUUAACCGAAGAAGGGCAUCGGAAACUGGGAGACUUGAGUGCAGAAGAGGAGAGUGGAACUCCAUGUGUAGCGGUGAAAUGCGUAGAUAUAUGGAAGAACACCAGUGGCGAAGGCGGCUCUCUGGUCUGUAACUGACGCUGAGGCUCGAAAGCGUGGGUAGCAAACAGGAUUAGA
rnacentral:rRNA from 1 species